rnacentral:rRNA from 1 species
UUUCGCCCUCAAAUCAGGUAGGACUACCCGCUGAACUUAAGCAUAUCAAUAAGCGGAGGAAAAGAAACCAACAGGGAUUGCCUCAGUAACGGCGAGUGAAGCGGCAAAAGCUCAAAUUUGAAAUCCUUCGGGAGUUGUAAUUUGUAGGUUGGGAGACCCCGCGGCUAGUGGCACCAAGUCCCUUGGAACAGGGCGCCUUAGAGGGUGAGAGCCCCGUAGGUACCACAAUACCGUCUUGUGUCUCCUCUCCAAAGAGUCGAGUUGUUUGGGAAUGCAGCUCAAAGUGGGUGGUAAAUUCCAUCUAAAGCUAAAUACCGGCGAGAGACCGAUAGCGAACAAGUACAGUGAUGGAAAGAUGAAAAGCACUUUGAAAAGAGAGUGAAACAGUACGUGAAAUUGUUGAAAGGGAAGGGCUUGCAAGCAGACACGGCCUUCGUGCCGGGCCAGCAUCGGUUGCUAGGGGUGGAUAAGGAACAAGGAAUGUAGCUCCUCGGAGUAUUAUAGCCUUGCGCGAUACACCCACUGGCGACCGAGGCCUGCG